rnacentral:rRNA from 1 species
CCCCUAGUAACUGCGAGUGAAGCGGGAAAAGCUCAAAUUUAAAAUCUGGCGGCCUUUGGUUGUCCGAGUUGUAAUCUAGAGAAGUGUUAUCCGCGCUGGACCCGUGUACAAGUCUCCUGGAAUGGAGCGUCAUAGAGGGUGAGAAUCCCGUCUUUGACACGGACUGCCAGGGCUUUGUGAUGCGCUCUCAAAGAGUCGAGUUGUUUGGGAAUGCAGCUCAAAAUGGGUGGUAAAUUCCAUCUAAAGCUAAAUAUUGGCGAGAGACCGAUAGCGAACAAGUACCGUGAGGGAAAGAUGAAAAGAACUUUGGAAAGAGAGUUAAACAGUACGUGAAAUUGCUGAAAGGGAAACGCUUGAAGUCAGUCGCGUUGUCCAGGGAUCAACCUUGCUUUUGCUUGGUGCACUUUCUGGUUGACGGGUCAGCAUCAAUUUUGACUAUUGGAAAAAGAUUAGGGGAAUGUGGCAUCUUCGGAUGUGUUAUAGCCCUUGGUUGCAUACAAUGGUUGGGAUUGAGGAACUCAGCACGCCGCAAGGCCGGGUUUUUAACCACGUACGUGCUUAGGAUGCUGGCAUAAUGGCUUUAAUCGACCCGUCUUGAAACACGGACCAAGGAGUCUAACAUGCCUGCGAGUGUUUGGGUGGAAAACCCGAGCGCGUAAUGAAAGUGAAAGUUGAGAUCCCUGUCGUNGGGGAGCAUCGACGCCCGGACCAGACCUUUUGUGACGGCUCCGCGGUAGAGCAUGUAUGUUGGGACCCGAAAGAUGGUGAACUAUGCCUGAAUAGGGUGAAGCCAGAGGAAACUCUGGUGGAGGCUCGUAGCGAUUCUGACGUGCA